AUGUAGGGGAAUAAACUACCACUAUUGCCAAAUAUCAACAAGCGCUUGCAAGAUAAGAAGUUCAUAGUAGAACUAAGAUCCCAGUCUUUUACACAACAAGGGA